rnacentral:rRNA from 1 species
GAUAGAUAGGCAUGCGUUCCAUUAGGCAGUUGGCGGGGUAACGGCCCACCAAACCGACGAUGGAUAGGGGUUCUGAGAGGAAGGUCCCCCACAUUGGUACUGAGACACGGACCAAACUCCUACGGGAGGCAGCAGUGAGGAAUAUUGGUCAAUGGGCGUAAGCCUGAACCAGCCAAGUCGCGUGAGGGAUGAAGGUUCUAUGGAUCGUAAACCUCUUUUAUAAGGGAAUAAAGUGCGGGACGUGUCCCGUUUUGUAUGUACCUUAUGAAUAAGGAUCGGCUAACUCCGUGCCAGCAGCCGCGGUAAUACGGAGGAUCCGAGCGUUAUCCGGAUUUAUUGGGUUUAAAGGGUGCGUAGGCGGCCUUUUAAGUCAGCGGUGAAAGUCUGUGGCUCAACCAUAGAAUUGCCGUUGAAACUGGGAGGCUUGAGUAUGUUUGAGGCAGGCGGAAUGCGUGGUGUAGCGGUGAAAUGCUUAGAUAUCACGCAGAACCCCGAUUGCGAAGGCAGCCUGCCAAGCCAUGACUGACGCUGAUGCACGAAAGCGUGGGGAUCAAACAGGAUUAGAUACCCUGGUAGUCCACGCAG